UACAGAGGGGGCAAGCGUUGUUCGGAAUUACUGGGCGUAAAGGGCGCGUAGGCGGCCUGCUAAGUCGAACGUGAAAUCCCUGGGCUCAACCCAGGAACUGCGUCCGAUACUGGUUGGCUUGAAUCCGGGAGAGGGAUGUGGAAUUCCAGGUGUAGCGGUGAAAUGCGUAGAUAUCUGGAGGAACACCGGUGGCGAAGGCGACAUCCUGGACCGGCAUUGACGCUGAGGCGCGAAAGCGUGGGGAGCAAACAGG
rnacentral:rRNA from 1 species